rnacentral:lncRNA from 1 species
GAGGGGAAGGAUGAUGGAUUCCGCUAUUUGGUAGCCAUCGACCGCGUGGUCGACACGUGGAACGCAGUGCCGGGUUUACAGAAGGAAGAAGAUCAUGCAGCGAUUAAGCUGGGAGCGGGAGGAAGCACGACGACGGGCCAUGCACAUGGGUCUGUGGCUAGCGGAAAGUUCGUGACACAGGGAGUGGAAAGCCGUUCACAGUUGAAGUGGGAGGAAGUUCGAAGCUAGAAGUGGGAGAACGCUAGAGGAAGAGCCAUGCAUGGGCUCCGAAGCAAGGACGUGGGCUCCAAAGCGAGAGAGAGAGUGGGUUGUGAGGAUAAUAAUGUUAUUUUGAUGAUUAACACAACCAUUGAGGCUAUAUCAAAUUAGAAAUGCAAAUUAACUCGAUACAUCAUUGAUAAAUGACACACCCUCGAUACAUUCACGAUGCGUUAGGAAUAUAUGGUCAAAACCACUCUUAAGAAUUGAUAAUGAGAUAAAUUUGUAAUAGAGAAUGGUAGAAAGCUCAAGAAUCUAUUUUGGCAAAGUUUCACGUUAAAAAUACCUAAAAGGGCAAUUCAGUAAUUUCCACUGUUAAGGGUAUGAAACUCUACUAUGCCAUGCAUCGUAAUUUGCUUGGAAUAUCAUAUUGUUGUUUCAAUGUGCAUAACUAACCUUCAAAGUGCAGAAAAACAUGGUUAGAGUCGACCCCAAUUAGUUUGGAGUCGAUCCCGAUACAUUUGGCACGCCUUGAAACGAAGUGGCAUGCCUUUGGAACACUUGGCACAGAGUAGGAGUCGAUCCCAGAAGAGAUGGAGUCGACUCUGGCACGUUUUGAAAACAUUCUGGCACAUCCUGGCACA